GGAAAGAUGUAGGCAAGC
rnacentral:siRNA from 1 species